GUUUUAAUAGUUUAAUAUAAAACAAUGAUUUUGUAAUUCAUUAAUGGUUUAAUUUAUAACCUUAAAACU
rnacentral:tRNA from 1 species